UACGUAGGGUGCAAGCGUUAAUCGGAAUACUGGGCGUAAAGCGUGCGCAGGCGGUUUUGUAAGUCUGUCGUGAAAUCCCCGGGCUCAACCUGGGAAUUGCGAUGGAGACUGCAAGGCUAGAAUCUGGCAGAGGGGGGGUAGAAUUCCACGUGUAGCAGUGAAAUGCGUAGAGAUGUGGAGGAACACCGAUGGCGAAGGCAGCCCCCUGGGUCAAGAUUGACGCUCAUGCACGAAAGCGUGGG
rnacentral:rRNA from 1 species